rnacentral:rRNA from 1 species
UCCUACGGGAGGCAGCAGUGGGGAAUAUUGCACAAUGGGCGCAAGCCUGAUGCAGCAACGCCGCGUGAGGGAUGACGGCCUUCGGGUUGUAAACCUCUUUUAGCAGGGAAGAAGCGAAAGUGACGGUACCUGCAGAAAAAGCGCCGGCUAACUACGUGCCAGCAGCCGCGGUAAUACGUAGGGCGCAAGCGUUAUCCGGAAUUAUUGGGCGUAAAGAGCUCGUAGGCGGUUUGUCGCGUCUGCUGUGAAAUCCGGAGGCUCAACCUCCGGCCUGCAGUGGGUACGGGCAGACUAGAGUGCGGUAGGGGAGAUUGGAAUUCCUGGUGUAGCGGUGGAAUGCGCAGAUAUCAGGGGGAACACCGAUGGCGAAGGCAGAUCUCUGGGCCGUAACUGACGCUGAGGAGCGAAAGGGUGGGGAGCAAACAGGCUUAGAUACCCUGGUAGUCCACCCCGUAAACGUUGGGAACUAGUUGUGGGGUCCAUUCCACGGAUUCCGUGACGCAGCUAACGCAUUAAGUUCCCCGCCUGGGGAGUACGGCCGCAAGGCUAAAACUCAAAGGAAUUGACGAA